GCAGACUGGCAUGGCAGGGACCAGUGUUGGGAGUAAUGCGUUACAAAGUAACGCGUUACUGUAAUUCCACUACUUUUAGUGGUAACGAACAUGUAACGAAGUAUUUUUGUAAAUCAAGUAACGCAAUUACACUUACUGAAAUUUCAAAGAGUUCGUUACUUGCGUUACUCUGUUGAUCUUGAAUGAAUGACUGCAGACAAGAUGACAGAUGCACAUUUGCUGCUUCUGAUCUAAUGUCUCCCGACCUUAGCUGUGUUUCCAGCGAUUGUGUUUUAUGUUUAGAUUGCAGAUGCAUUCUUUACAGUUAAUAGGAGCCUCCUCACAUUCCUCCUUAUUUCGGAUUUAUGCUAAAACACACAAGAGUACAAUUUAAAUGGGCAUCUUAAAACCCUUUUCCUUUUCAUUUCCA